ensembl:snRNA U6 U6 spliceosomal RNA
UUGCUCCCUUUGGCAGCACAUAUACUAAAGUUGGAACAAAACAGGGAUUAGCAUGACUCCCGCACAAGGACGAGUGUAAAUCCUAAGGUCCAGCUCUCUAUA